GUGAGGGAGGGGGCAGGAAGGGCGUUAAUGCGGAGGGUGCAAGCGUGAUCCGGAAUGAUGAGGCGUAAAGCGGGCGUAGGCGGGUUUGUAAGUCUGAUGUGAAAUGCCACGGGUUAACCGUGGAGGGUCAUUUGAAACUUGAAAACUUGAGUGCAGAAGAGGAAAGUGGAAUUCCAUGUGUAGCGGUGAAAUGCGCAGAGAUAUGGAGGAACACCAGUGGCGAAGGCGACUUUCUGGUCUGUAACUGACGCUGAUGUGCGAAAGCGUGGGGAUCAAACAGGAUUAGAUACGCGUGUAGUC
rnacentral:rRNA from 1 species